rnacentral:tRNA from 1 species
UCCUGAGUAGCUCAGUGGUAGAGCGAUCGGCUGUUAACCGAUUGGUCGUAGGUUCGAGUCCUACCUCAGGAGCCA